GGAAUAAAUUUGCUUUGAUAAACAUUAUACAGUGUUCUUGUCAUUUGUUUGGUCUCACGUUUUGUUUUAAGUGUCAAUUAUCAUCAUAUUAAAAUGAAGUUGGUUGCGUUGAUCUGUUCGCUGUUGGUGGUGGUAGCCUGUCAAGCUAACUAUGGAGCGACACCAACUACAGUAAACAAUUACGUACAAAACCACAACUUAAAUUACAACCUAAAUUACAACAUGUACGAUCCGAACGCGUAUUACAACAACAUCCAACAACAAUACCAAAACGCUAUGAUCGGUCGUUAUUAUUCAGUGUACAGACCAAAUAUUGUUGAGGGCAUUCUUCACGUAGCAGCUGACACUGUGCGGGACAUUGGAAGCCUUUUAGGUAGACAUUACUAAACAUAUAGGAAUUGUGACAGUAGCACACUAAGGGAUAUAAAGAAUUACCUUAAUACUAGUAAUUACUUUUAAUACUAGUAUAGUUGUAACUAAAAGGACAAUGAAUGGAAAUUACUGAAACCUCGCCACGAGUGUGACCUUAUAGCAAUUUAAGCUCAUUGUAGAUUGGUAUUUAACAUGCUAUGCAUAAAAAUUGAUUGGUUUUAUAGAAAGAGUUGUUAACGAAAUUAUAGUCUUUAGUGAAUUAUGUAAAACGUCAUUUGAAGUAACUAUUUCAUAAAAUUAAUCAAUACUCUGUGUAUUA